rnacentral:rRNA from 1 species
GACAGAGGGUGCAAACGUUGUUCGGAAUUACUGGGCGUAAAGGGCGCGUAGGCGGUACUUCAAGUCAGGCGUGAAAGCCCCGGGCUCAACCUGGGAACCGCGCUUGAGACUGGAGAACUAGAGUUCGGGAGAGGAUGGUGGAAUUCCCAGUGUAGAGGUGAAAUUCGUAGAUAUUGGGAAGAACACCGAUGGCGAAGGCAGCCAUCUGGACCGACACUGACGCUGAGGCGCGAAAGCGUGGGGAGCAAACAGG